UCUGCACAUGUACCCCAGAACCUAAAAUGCAAUACCAUUAUAAAUAAUUAGUAAUAAGACAUUUGUUCAAAACAGAAAGAUGAACUAAUAGAACAGAAUAGAAAAUAAUAUAGAAACACAUACAGAUCAGCUGAUUUAUGGCAAAAGUGACAUCAAUGCAGUGAGAAAAGGUGGUGUUUUCAAUGAAUGAUGCAAGGUCAAGUGAAUGUCACAUAGGGAAAAAAUGUAUCUUGACUUCCAAUUCAUAUACCACACUGUACACAAAUAGUGCGUCUAGAGUGAUGGCACAACCAAUGUGCAUAACAACAAAGCCUUAAAAUGACAUUUGCAUGACCUUUGAUAGGCAGCAGUUCCCCCACCUCAGGUUCAGUAAUUCACUAGACAAACAGAACUCAGGAAAGUUAUACUCAUAGUUUGCUAUAUCAAAAGUAUAUCACAAGGUUAUAGAUUAAAUAGGAGGAAGCAUAUAGGGCAGGGUCCAGGAGAGGCCAGACACAGAGCUUCCAGCCGUCUUCUCCCAGUGGAGUUGCAUAGACAGUGCUUCUCCUAGCAAAGAUGUAAUGGAACUGUGUGGCAAUGGAACCAGGGAAGCUCAACCACACCUUGGUGUCCAUUGUUUUGUAGGGGCCGAAGGUGGGGUGGGGAGGGUAUCAAUGGCAUAAUUAUGGCUCACUUCUCACAUUGCUGACCUUGGAGCUACCAGUCUCUCCAAAGGUCAAUGUGAUACCACAUUACCCAAGGCCCCAACCAUAAAUUACAGUUUUAGCAUAGACUGGUGAUACAGUUUGGAUAUUUGUCUCUACCCAAAUCUCAUGUUGAAUUAUAAUCCUCAGUGCUGGAAAUGAGCCUGCUGGGAGGUGUGUAGGUCAUGGGGGCAGAUCCUCAUGGCUAGGUGCUGUCUUUGUGAUAGUUCUCACAAGAUCUGAUCAUUUAAAAGUGUGUGGCACUCUGUACCCCAACUUUUGCUUGCUCCUGCUUUCCCCAUCUGUUCACUCUUCUCCUUCCAUGAUUGAAAUCUCCCUGAGGCUUCACCAGAAGCUGAGCAGAUGUCAGCACCAUGCUUCCUGUAAAGCCUGCAGAAUCAUAAGCCAAUUAAACCUCUCAUCUUUAUAAAUCACCGAGUCUCAAUUAUUUCUUUAUAGCAGUGCAAGAAUGAACUAACAGCUGGCAUGGUCCAAGGCAUGCAGGUAAACAGAGAUACACUUAUGAAGCAGGACAUUCCAAGGGUUUCCAGAUUACUUGCCAGGGGUAAGGGCCAUAGCUUUCUUUGGACAAGCUCAGUGCUUUACUACAUGUAGGCAAAGACAAAAUACUCUAACAAUAAAUAUUUUUAAAAUGAGCAACUGGCCUGUAUUAACCUUUAUUCAUUAAAGGAAUGAUUAGGCAACUCAGAGCAAAAAAGUAUUUCCAAUACAUGUGUUUGACAAAGGACUGGUAUCCAUCCAGAUUAUAUAAAACACUCCUCAUGUAAAUUAAGAAACCCAGUUGGAGGGUCAGCAGGUAAACAACAGGUGAAAGAUUUUUAAAGGCACUUCAAAAAAGAAGAUACCAAGUCUCAACUUCUUUAGUUAUCAGCCUAAUGUAAAUUAAAACCAUACAUAAUACUACUGUGUACCUAGCAAAAUGGCUAAAAUGAAAUAGGUGGACAGUAACAGAGUUGGCAGAGAUGUAGAGUAAUCACAGCUCUCAUACACUGCUGGUGGGAGUCUGAAUUAGUGCAACCAUUUUGGACAACUGUUUGGCAGCAUUUACUAAAGAUGAACAUAUGCAUACCCCAUGGCUCAGCAAUUCCACUUCUAAGUGUAUACCCAUGAGAAAAUGCAUGCAUUUGUUUACCAACAGACAUAUAUUAGAAUGUCCAUAGAACACUUCAUAAUAGCAAAAAACUAAAGACUAUUCAAAUGUUCAUUAAUAAAGACAAUAAAUUUAAUAUUUACACAGUGGAAUACAAUACAAUGAAAUGGUCUACCACUAUAAAAAAUACGGAUGAA